GCAAUCCUGCGAGACCAGGCACCUCGCGGUGUGCUGAACGUUGUUCAGAAUCGCAAAGGCAAACGACGUCCAAACCAAGCCGACGGCUUCGCCGUCGGUCCAUCGCAAGCAAUCGGCCCGGAAUGAUCGCGAGGUCGCGAGACUCACUCAAAACCCGCGUUGCAGCGAUUUGGCGAUCCGGAUAUCUUUCCGCCACACCUCUCUCCCGAUUUCCUCACGUUUCCCACAAUUUGUGAUAUCCAGCGUCGCGCGCCCAUUGGCGUGGCGGGAUCUUUCUGAUCUCGCCUGCGCCAGCGAACAGCUGCGCGCGGCGACGGAGAGGUUGCCCCAUGUUGCGACUGGGAAUUGUCGAUUUCGACUCCUCCCACUCGAUUGAGUUCACGCAGCGCUUCAACCAUGUCGGCGUCGCCGCCGACGAAUGGGUGGAAGGCGCGCGCGUUGAACUCGGCUGGCCGGGCACGUCCCAGAUGGCUCCCGAGCGCAUUGCCGGUUUUGCCCGGCAAGUCGCCGCGUGCGGUGUGCGCAUGGUCGACUCGCCGGCCGACAUGAUCGGAAAAAUCGACGGCGUGCUCGUGCUCUCACUGUGCGGCGCGGCACACCUGCAGCGGGUGCAACCGUUUCUCGAAGCCGGCGUGCCGUCGUUCGUCGACAAGCCUUUUGCCUGCUCCUUUGCCGGCGCGGCGGAAAUGGUCGCGCUCUCGCGGCAGCACAAGACGCUGCUCUUUAAUUCGUCUGCUCUCCCCAAUGCCGACGAAAUUCAACCAAUUUCGCAGCAGGCAGAGCGACUACGGUGCGUUGCACGGAGUCGUCUCGUACGGACCCCGCCAAGCGGGCCAGCGGAAAUCCCGGGCUGUUCCACUAUGGAAUUCACGCCGCCUCGAUUUUGUUUGCCUUGAUGGGGCCGGGAUGUGCCCAAGUCGCCACGACGUUCACCGAGGGGGCCGAAGCGGCCACCGGUUUGUGGACCGACGGUCGCAUCGGCACACUGCGCGGCAGCCGCUCGGGGUCGACGGCGUACGGUUUUUCUGGCCUUUUGUGAAAACGGCGUCGUCAAUCAGCCGGUGUCGACGCGUUACACGUAUCGAAAUUUGUGCCGCAAGAUCGUCGAGUCGUUCUCAUCGGGCCGACCCGACGUCGAUCA
rnacentral:misc_RNA from 1 species